rnacentral:misc_RNA from 1 species
GAUGAAGAACGUAGCGAAAUGCGAUAAGUAGUGUGAAUUGCAGAAUUCAGUGAAUCAUCGAAUCUUUGAACGCACAUUGCGCCCCUUGGUAUUCCAUGGGGCAUGCCUGUUCGAGCGUCAUUUGUACCUUCAAGCUCUGCUUGGUGUUGGGUGUUUGUCCCGCCUUUGUGCGUGGACUCGCCUUAAAGCAAUUGGCAGCCGGCCUACUGGUUUCGGAGCGCAGCACAAGUCGCACUCUCUAUCAGCAAAGGUCUAGCAUCCAUUAAGCCUUUUUUUCAACUUUUGACCUCGGAUCAGGUAGGGAUACCCGCUGAACUUAAGCAUAUCAAUAAGCGGAGGA